rnacentral:rRNA from 1 species
AUUGAACGCUGGCGGCAGGCCUAACACAUGCAAGUCGAGCGGCAGCACGGGAGCUUGCUCCUGGUGGCGAGCGGCGGACGGGUGAGUAAUGCCUAGGAAUCUGCCUGUUAGUGGGGGAUAACUCGGGGAAACUCGAGCUAAUACCGCAUACGUCCUACGGGAGAAAGUGGGGGACCUUCGGGCCUCACGCUAACAGAUGAGCCUAGGUCGGAUUAGCUAGUUGGUGGGGUAAAGGCCUACCAAGGCGACGAUCCGUAGCUGGUCUGAGAGGAUGAUCAGCCACACUGGAACUGAGACACGGUCCAGACUCCUACGGGAGGCAGCAGUGGGGAAUAUUGGACAAUGGGCGCAAGCCUGAUCCAGCCAUGCCGCGUGUGUGAAGAAGGUCUUCGGAUUGUAAAGCACUUUAAGUUGGGAGGAAGGGCUGUUACCUAAUACGUGACAGUUUUGACGUUACCAACAGAAUAAGCACCGGCUAACUUCGUGCCAGCAGCCGCGGUAAUACGAAGGGUGCGAGCGUUAAU